AGGCUGGAUGGAUUGGUGCUGCUGGAAGGAUUGGCUCUGCUCCAGACAUGCACAGCAAAUGUGCUAAGGCUGCAGCAUCGUGUCCCUGCUGGAAGGUUCAAGGAUGGAUCCUGACAAAGAGCAGGAGAAUAUAAUUCCUAUACCAAUUAAUUCCAGCGCUGAUGCACCCCCAAAUGAUGAUGCACAGUGAUGGAUUCGAAUACAGUGACCAAUGUUCCAUUAUGAUAGAGUAUGCAUGUAUACAUAUACUGCGUAGCUGCUGC
rnacentral:lncRNA from 1 species